ensembl:lncRNA
CGCAUGGCUCUAUCCUCGCCUCACGCGGGGAAACUUGGGAGUUGUGAGCGCGAGCAGCAAGUAGUUAGACGCACGCAGCCGUCUGAAUCCCUCCAGCCGGACUCCUGUCAUCACUACACCUCUACAAGUCCUUCACGACCGAAACAAACCGACUUUAACCACGAACCAUGGACGAGAAGCGCGUGGACACAGUUUCUGCCCGCGUGGACGCAGCCGCCGCCGUGUCUUCUCCCGAGUUCCUUUGCUUUGGGUCUUUGUGUUUGUCCCUCUGAGACGCCGCGUGGGGACAUCUGUUGUGGACCAUCUGCCUCGGGACACAAGCCAGAAGAAC